rnacentral:rRNA from 1 species
UACGUAGGGGGCAAGCGUUGUCCGGAUUUACUGGGUGUAAAGGGCGCGCAGGUGGGCUUGAUAGUUAGAGGUGAAAUCCUGUGGCUUAACUGCAGAACUGCCUUUAAUACUUCAAGUCUUGAGUGCGGAAGAGAGAGACGGAAUUCCAGGUGUAGUAGUGAAAUACGUAGAUAUCUGGAAGAACACCAGUUGCGAAGGCGGUCUCUUGGUCCGUAACUGACACUUAGGCGCGAAAGCGUGGUGAGUAAACAGG